AGGAUAAACGCUGGCGGCGUGCCUAACACAUGCAAGUCGAACGUCCUACGCAAGUAGGGAGUGGCGGACGGGUGAGUAACACGUGGGCAAUCUACCUUUCGGUGAGGAAUACCGGCGAGAAAUCGCCGACAAUACCGCAUACGCUUCGCAAGAAGCAAAGUCGCAAGACGCCGGAGGAGGAGCCUGCGCCCGAUUAGCUGGUUGGUGAGGUAAAAGCUCACCAAGGCGUCGAUCGGUAGCUGGUCUGAGAGGAUGAUCAGCCACACUGGGAUUGAGAACGGCCCAGACUCCUACGGGGGGCAGCAGUGAGGAAUUUUCGUCAAUGGGGGAAACCCUGAACGAGCAACGCCGCGUGCAGGAUGACGCUUCUCGGAGUGUAAACUGCUUUUCUCGGGGAAGAGGAACGGACGGUACCCGAGGAAUCGAGCCCCGGCUAACUACGUGCCAGCAGCCGC
rnacentral:rRNA from 1 species